GUCGGGAAUUUUGGGCAAUGGGCGAAAGCCUGACCCAGCAACGCCGCGUGAAGGAUGAAAUCUUUCGGGAUGUAAACUUCGCAAGAAUGGGAAGAAUAAGUAGGGGAUAACACCCCCUAUGAUGACGGUACUAUUUGUAAGCUCCGGCUAACUCCGUGCCAGCAGCCGCGGUAAUACGGGGGGAGCAAGCGUUGUUCGGAUUUACUGGGCGUAAAGGGCGCGUAGGCGGCGCAACAAGUCACUUGUGAAAUCUCCGGGCUUAACUCGGAACGGUCAAGUGAUACUGUUGUGCUAGAGUGCGGAAGGGGCAACUGGAAUUCUCGGUGUAGCGGUGAAAUGCGUAGAUAUCGAGAGGAACACCUGCGGCGAAGGCGGGUUGCUGGGCCGACACUGACGCUGAUGCGCGAAAGCCAGGGGAGCGAACGGGAUUAGAAACCCUAGUAGUCC
rnacentral:rRNA from 1 species